rnacentral:rRNA from 1 species
AGAGUUUGAUCAUGGCUCAGAUUGAACGCUGGCGGAAUGCUUUACACAUGCAAGUCGAGCGGCAGCGCGGGGCAACCUGGCGGCGAGCGGCGAACGGGUGAGUAAUGCAUCGGAACGUGUCCAUGUCGUGGGGGAUAGCCCGGCGAAAGCCGGAUUAAUACCGCAUACGCCCGAGAGGGGAAAGUGGGGGACCGCAAGGCCUCACGCGAUUGGAUCGGCCGAUGUCCGAUUAGCUAGUUGGCGGGGUAAAGGCCCACCAAGGCGAUGAUCGGUAGCUGGUCUGAGAGGAUGAUCAGCCACACUGGGACUGAGACACGGCCCAGACUCCUACGGGAGGCAGCAGUGGGGAAUUUUGGACAAUGGGGGCAACCCUGAUCCAGCCAUUCCGCGUGAGUGAAGAAGGCCUUCGGGUUGUAAAGCUCUUUUGUCCGGAGCGAAACGGGCGACGUGAAUAUCGUUGUCUACUGACGGUACCGGAAGAAUAAGCACCGGCUAACUACGUGCCAGCAGCCGCGGUAAUACGUAGGGUGCGAGCGUUAAUCGGAAUUACUGGGCGUAAAGCGUGCGCAGGCGGUUUUGUAAGCCGGAUGUGAAAUCCCCGGGCUUAACCUGGGAAUGGCAUUCGGGACUGCAAGGCUGGAGUGCGGCAGAGGAGACUGGAAUUCCUGGUGUAGCAGUGAAAUGCGUAGAUAUCAGGAGGAACACCGAUGGCGAAGGCAGGUCUCUGGGCUGACACUGACGCUCAUGCACGAAAGCGUGGGGAGCAAACAGGAUUAGAUACCCUAGUAGUCC